rnacentral:tRNA from 1 species
AGCAAGGUAAGCUAAAUAAGCUAUCGGGCCCAUACCCCGAAAAUGACGGUUCAACUCCAUCCCCUGCUA